rnacentral:rRNA from 1 species
GUCCUUUAGAAUUAUAUUUAAGGUUUAACCUGCCCACUGAAAUUAUUUAAAUGGCCGCAGUAUUUUGACUGUGCAAAGGUAGCAUAAUCAUUAGUUUUUUAAUUAAAAGCUUGUAUGAAAGGUUGGACGAAGUAGAAUCUGUCUCUAUAUAAAUUAAAAUAGAAUUUAACUUUUAAGUUAAAAGGCUUAAAUUUAAUUAAAAGACGAGAAGACCCUAUAGAGCUUUAUAAUUUAUUUAAUAGUAUUAAUUUAGAGAUAUUGAUAUUUUAUUAAAUAAAAUUAUUUUAUUGGGGUAAUAUAAAGAUUAAAAAAAUUCUUUUUUUAUUAACAUUAAUUUAUGAUUUUAAUGAUCCAGUUUUAUUGAUUAUAAGAGUAAGUUACCUUAGGGAUAACAGCGUAAUUUUUUUAAAGAGUUCAUAUUGAUAAAAAAGUUUGCGACCUCGAUGUUGGAUUAAAGAUUAUUUUAGGUGCAGAAGCUUAAAAUUUUUGGUCUGUUCGACCAUUAAAUCUUUAC